GGCGGACGGGUGAGUAACACGUGAGUAAUCUGUCUCUGUGCGGGGGACAACCCGGGGAAACUCGGGCUAAUACCGCAUGGGCGGACUCCAGGCUCUGGAGACCGGGAAAGGUGGCCUCUUUACAAUGCUGCCGUGCAGAGAGGAGCUCGCGGGCUAUCAGCUAGUUGGCAGGGUAACGGCCUACCAGGGCGACGACGGCUACGGGGUCUGAGAGGACGACCCCGCACAUUGGAACUGAGACACGGUCCAGACUCCUACGGGAGGCAGCAGUGGGGAAUAUUGGGCAAUGGCCGAAAGGCUGACCCAGCGACGCCGCGUGCGGGAGGAAGCCCUUCGGGGUGUAAACCGCUGUCAGGGGGGACGAAUGACUCUCUGGGGAAUACUCAGAGGGAGUGACGGUACCCCCAAAGGAAGCACCGGCUAACUCUGUGCCAGCAGCCGCGGUAAUACAGAGGGUGCAAGCGUUGUUCGGAAUCACUGGGCGUAAAGCGCGCGCAGGCGGAUGGUUGCGUCCGGAGUGAAAUUUCGCCGCUCAACGGCGAAGCUGCUUUGGAUACGGACCGUCUAGGGACCGGUAGAGGCUGGUAGAAUUGCAGGUGUAGCGGUGGAAUGCGUAGAGAUCUGCAAGAAUACCCGUGGCGAAGGCGGCCAGCUGGGCCGGAUCCGACGCUGAGGCGCGAAAGCGUGGGGAGCAAACAGGAUUAGAUACCCUGGUAGUCC
rnacentral:rRNA from 1 species